GGGAAACUUCCUCCCAUUGUCUUUUCCUUUCCAUCACUGUGUUGGUGCUGAAAAGCCCAGAAAGCAUUCUCCAAUUGCAGAUCACUUGAAUUCGGUUUGGGGUUUUUUUUGGGUUUUUUUUUUGGCUGCAAAUGUUUAUUAGGUGAUAGAUGGCACCUGUGUUCCUUGGGCAGUUGUGAUGCAGCAGAGGGGAGGCCUGUGUCUGCAUGAGAGCUCAUCUCAUCAAGUACUCAGUACAGAUAAGCCAGAAGUGUGAUGCUGUUGGUGUGACAUCACGGUGCGGUUGCGUAAGUCAGCUGUUGUUGUAUACUAAGGACUUUUCUCUGGAAUGCAAUUCGGGGUUAUUUGUGUGUGAAAGAUGAAUGCAAAACUCACACGCUGGUGAAGGAGACAGAUGAUGGAACUGAAGCUGGUUGAUGCCAAAGCAGGGCUGGAGGGACCAUGGGAGCAUCAUCUGCUCCGCAGCACAGCGCUGCCUCUCAGGGACCUUGGGAAGAGUGCUGGGAUAAUGUGUUCACCUUGGUGAGGAGAUACAAGAUGCUUGUGGGUGCACCUGGCUACGGAAACCUUGGUAUGGUCAGGUGAAGGAGGACUGUAGGAAGUUGGAUGACUCCAAGCACUUUUGGGUGUUGGCAUAGGGAUGUGGCCUGCAUGGAUGCAUCUAGGAACCGUUCUGUCCUCCUCCAAAGGUAAAGUUACAGUAUGUGCUCGUUUUACCCUAGCUUUGUGUGAGACUUUUUUUUAAAGCACAGCAGGAGAGAGUAAAGCAAUCCAGGAUGGGCAGAUGGUAGAGAGGAAAGAGUUGCCUACAGCUGCUGGUAGCAGCAAGUAACAAAGCAAUGGCAGCCAAAACACGAGCACAUCCAGCUAUGGGAUGGGGAAAGCAGAGGGCUGGUGUUUGGAUGAGGGGUGGGAACAAGGUCAAGUGCUCAGCAUUUGCUCAGUGUAUUUCAGUGUCUGGGAACUGAAAUACAUUUGUGUUGAUUUUUAUGAUCCCUCCACACUGCAUCUCACAGAAAAUCAG
rnacentral:lncRNA from 1 species